CGAAAGGCGUAGGUGAUGGACAACAGGUUGAUAUUCCUGUACUACCGAUAACCGGUUGAGAGAAGGGAUGACACAGUAGGAUAAGCUAAGCACACUGUUGGUUAUGUGUGCCCAAGCAUUGAGGCAGGCAAAGCAGGCAAAUCCGCUUUGAUAAUGCUGGGAUGUGAUGGGGAGCGAAAUUUAGUAGCGAAGUAGCUGAUUUCACACUGUCAAGAAAAGUCUCUAUCGAGGUUAAAGGUACCCGUACCGCAAACC
rnacentral:rRNA from 1 species